AUUGAACGCUGGCGGCAUGCCUUACACAUGCAAGUCGAGCGGCAGCGCGGGGGCAACCCUGGCGGCGAGCGGCGAACGGGUGAGUAAUACAUCGGAACGUGUCCUUUCGUGGGGGAUAACCAGUCGAAAGAUUGGCUAAUACCGCAUGAGAUCUCACGAUGAAAGCGAGGGACCCGCAAGGACCUCGCGCGAUUGGGAGCGGCCGAUGUCGGAUUAGCUAGUGGCGGGGUAAAAGGCCCACCCAAGGCGACGAUCCGUAGCUGGUUUGAGAGAACGACCAGCCACACUGGGACUGAGACACGGCCCAGACUCCUACGGGAGGCAGCAGUGGGGAAAUUUGGACAAUGGGCGCAAGCCUGAUCCAGCCAUGCCGCGUGUGUGAAGAAGGCCU
rnacentral:rRNA from 1 species